UGACAACCUGCCCCUUNCUCUGGGAUAACCCGGAACCGGGAACGGCUAAUACCG
rnacentral:rRNA from 1 species